rnacentral:SRP_RNA from 2 species
AUUCUUUGUACGUGCAACAAAUAUAUUGUAACCUGGUCAGGAUCGGAAGAUAGCAGCCACGUCAAUCACUGUUUGUGUGCACUUUUUUUUGGGAGAAUU